rnacentral:rRNA from 2 species
CAUCGAAUCUUUGAACGCACCUUGCGCUCCUUGGUAUUCCGAGGAGCAUGCCUGUUUGAGUGUCAUUAAUAAUAAUAUCAACCUCUUCAUGUUUUGUGGAGCGUUUGGAUGUGGGGGUUUUAUAUCUUUUUGCUGGCCUCGUCAGCUCCCCUGAAAUGCAUUAGCCGAACAAUUUUGUUGACCGUUCAUUGGUGUGAUAACUAUCUACGCUAUUGACGAGAAAGCAGUUCAGCUUCCAACCGUCCAUUUCAUUUGGACAAUUUUCAUUAAUGUGACCUCAAAUCAGGUAGGACUACCCGCUGAACUUAAGCAUAUCAAUAAGCGGAGG